GACGAACGCUGGCGGCGUGCCUAACACAUGCAAGUCGAACGAGAUUUUAUCAGAUGAAUUUUUCGGAAGGAUUCUGGUAUUUGACAGUGGCGAACGGGUGAGUAACGCGUGGGUAACCUGCCUUUAACUGGGGGAUAACACCGGGAAACUGGUGCUAAUACCGCAUAGUUGAUACCAUGGCAUCAUGGAAUCAGGAAAGGAGUAAUCCGGUUUAAGAUGGACCCGCGUCCAAUCAGCUAGUUGGUGUGGUAAAGGCUCACCAAGGCAUCGAUCAGUAGCUGGUCUGAGAGGAUGAUCAGCCACACUGGGACUGAGACACGGCCCAGACUCCUACGGGAGGCAGCAGUGGGGAAUUUUCCGCAAUGGGCGCAAGCCUGACGGAGCAACGCCGCGUGAGGGAUGAAGGCCUCUGGGCUGUAAACCUCUUUUAUCAAGGAAGAAGAUCUGACGGUACUUGAUGAAUAAGCCACGGCUAAUUCCGUGCCAGCAGCCGCGGUAAUACGGGAGUGGCAAGCGUUAUC
rnacentral:rRNA from 1 species